GUCUGAGUAAUGCUCCAGGCAUUGACAGACACACCAAUAGACAAAGCAUGGAUACUUGCAGGUUGUGUUGACCAAAUGUCAGAUGGGGUCUGCAGUGAGCCAGCAAGCAAAUGAGGUUAUAGAGCCAAGUAAGCCAACCCCCUCUCCAGCAGAGAUUUCGGUUGGUGAAACUUCCUCCCCCUCUUCAUUCAUACCCCCUGCCAUAAUUGUCACUGCCCCAUCCAAAGAGGACCUCUAUGCUCAGCCACCCACCAAAACUAUAGAGGAGGCAAACAAGGAGCCACGACCUAGAAGGCAACCAAUCUGUGUUGGUAGAGCCAUCACUAACAAGGCAUAACGAUUUUGGAAAAAGUAAGGUCACAUAAAUACUACAGGCCUGCCAUCCCCUUGAGUCAAUGAUUCCCUAUUCAUCUGUGCUAUAUGAGUGCUAGAUGUACCAAUUGCAGUAAUUCAUUAUAAGAAGUGGUAAUAGAUAUGUACAUAUUUGAGGAACAAAGUCAUUUCUGGUGCUUUUUGGAUGCAUUACAUAUAUUUGUUGAAAUUUUUCCCCAGCCUUAGAAAAAGUGGGGAUAUUAUUGUACUAUUUAAUUUAUAUGAGGAAUGAUUCAAGUGGAUAUCGUCAUAUUUGUGGGGGAAAAAAGCAAUUUCUAAAUAGAUGUAAAUACAUUUAUGAGGGGAAGCUGAUCUCACCGUCUUGAACCCCGGGAAAGCUUGUAGUCGUCCAUUUAAUAGACAAAGCACGGAGUGUGUGGUUUCCUGCCAUUCAUGCUGUUUUGAAUGUUUCUGGACGUAUAUUCGCAUACUGGUCGCAUUUUCUGUCAUCACAGUACAGCAAAGGGCGAAUGAACCAUCAUCUCGUGCGUCCAAAUAACAAUGGAGAACGCUGCAGACUCUGACCCGGACCCCAUAAAGCUGAAGUCGAUCAAGAACAACAGAACGUUCACAGUACCGCAAAAACACAGGUUUGGGAACUGUAGGAGUGUGAAAGAAUUUGAGAAACUGAACCGAAUCGGCGAGGGAACAUAUGGAAUUGUGUACAGAGCUCGAGACACCAGGUCUGAUGAUAUUGUAGCCCUGAAGAAGGUCCGGAUGGACAAGGAAAAGGAUGGGAUCCCUAUCAGUAGUCUGAGAGAGAUUACCCUGUUGCUCAAACUCAGACACCCCAACAUAGUGGAGUUAAAGGAGGUGGUGGUGGGAAGUCACCUGGAGAGUCUCUUCCUAGUUAUGAGUUACUGUGAGCAGGACCUGGCCAGUCUGCUGGAAAACAUGCCAACACCGUUCUCAGAGGCACAGGUGAAGUGUAUAGCUCUGCAGCUGCUGAGAGGUCUGGAUUAUCUUCACCUCAACUUUAUUCUGCACAGGGAUCUGAAGGUGUCCAAUCUGCUGAUGACAGACAAAGGCUGUGUAAAGAUUGCUGACUUUGGCUUGGCACGUUGCUACGGUAUCCCCCUACAGCCUAUGACACCCCGGGUGGUGACAUUGUGGUAUAGAGCCCCAGAGCUCCUCCUAGGGACCAAGACUCAGACCACAGCUUUAGACAUGUGGGCGGUGGGCUGCAUCUUGGCUGAGCUGCUUGCACAUAAACCUCUGCUGCCAGGGGGUUCUGAGAUCCAACAGGUGGACCUCAUAGUGCAACUGUUGGGUACCCCUAAUGAAAACAUCUGGCCGACAGAAGAAUGCACGAUCAAGAAGGGAUACAUAGAGAGCAGUUGCUUCGUGAGGGCUUCACUCGUCUUCCCCUAGUUGGACAGUACAGUUUGAGGAAACAACCAUACAACAAUUUGAAGAAUAAGUUCACCUGGUUGUCUGAUGCAGGGCUGCGUUUACUCAACCUUCUCUUCAUGUACAAUCCUCUACGCAGGGCCACAGCUAAGGACUGCUUGGAGAGUUCCUACUUUAAGGAGAAACCUUUGC